GUGGGGAAUUUUGGACAAUGGGGGCAACCCUGAUCCAGCCAUGCCGCGUGCGGGAAGAAGGCCUUCGGGUUGUAAACCGCUUUUGUCAGGGAAGAAAUCCUUUGGGUUAAUACCUCGGAGGGAUGACGGUACCUGAAGAAUAAGCACCGGCUAACUACGUGCCAGCAGCCGCGGUAAUACGUAGGGUGCGAGCGUUAAUCCGAAUUACUGGGCGUAAAGCGUGCGCAGGCGGUUUUGUAAGAUCGAUGUGAAAUCCCCGGGCUCAACCUGGGAACUGCAUUGGUGACUGCAAGGCUGGAGUGCGGCAGAGGGGGAUGGAAUUCCGCGUGUAGCAGUGAAAUGCGUAGAUAUGCGGAGGAACACCGAUGGCGAAGGCAAUCCCCUGGGCCUGCACUGACGCUCAUGCACGAAAGCGUGGGGAGCAAACAGGAUUAGAAACCCGGGUAGUCC
rnacentral:rRNA from 1 species